ACCCUACGGGGCGCAGCAGUAGGGAAUAUUGCUCAAUGGGGGAAACCCUGAAGCAGCAACGCCGCGUGGAGGAUGAAGGUUUUCGGAUUGUAAACUCCUUUUGUUAGAGAAGAUAAUGACGGUAUCUAACGAAUAAGCACCGGCUAACUCCGUGCCAGCAGCCGCGGUAAUACGGAGGGUGCAAGCGUUACUCGGAAUCACUGGGCGUAAAGAGCGCGUAGGCGGGAUAGCAAGUCAGGUGUGAAAUCCUAUGGCUCAACCAUAGAACUGCAUUUGAAACUGUUAUUAUAGAGUUUGGGAGAGGG
rnacentral:rRNA from 1 species